GACGAACCGUGCGAACGUUGUUCGGAUUCACUGGGCUUAAAGGGCGCGUAGGCGGGUGGCCAAGUCAGGGGUGAAAUCCUCCGGCUCAACCGGAGAACAGCUUCUGAUACUAGGCGCCUCGAGGGAGGUAGGGGCAGAUGGAACUUCCGGUGGAGCGGUGAAAUGCGUAGAUAUCGGAAGGAACGCCGGUGGCGAAAGAGAUCUGCUGGACCUCUUCUGUAGCUGAGGCGCGAAAGCCAGGGGAGCAAACGCG
rnacentral:rRNA from 1 species